rnacentral:rRNA from 1 species
UGAGGAAUAUUGGUCAAUGGGCGAGAGCCUGAACCAGCCAAGUAGCGUGCAGGACGACGGCCCUAUGGGUUGUAAACUGCUUUUAUGUGGGGAUAAAGUGCGUGACGUGUCAUGCAUUGCAGGUACCACAUGAAUAAGGACCGGCUAAUUCCGUGCCAGCAGCCGCGGUAAUACGGAAGGUCCGGGCGUUAUCCGGAUUUAUUGGGUUUAAAGGGAGCGUAGGCCGUUUGGUAAGCGUGUUGUGAAAUGUAGGAGCUCAACUUCUAGAUUGCAGCGCGAACUGUCAGACUUGAGUGCGCACAACGUAGGCGGAAUUCAUGGUGUAGCGGUGAAAUGCUUAGAUAUCAUGAAGAACUCCGAUUGCGAAGGCAGCUUACGGGAGCGCAACUGACGCUGAAGCUCGAAGGUGCGGGUAUCGAACAGG